UACAGAGGGGGCAAGCGUUGUUCGGAAUUACUGGGCGUAAAGGGCGCGUAGGUGGCCUUCUAAGUUGAACGUGAAAUCCCUGGGCUCAACCCAGGAGCUGCGUCCAAGACUGGGAGGCUUGAAUCCGGGAGAGGGAUGCGGAAUUCCAGGUGUAGCGGUGAAAUGCGUAGAUAUCUGGAGGAACACCGGUGGCGAAGGCGGCAUCCUGGACCGAUACUGACGCUGAGGAGCGAAAGCCAGGGGAGCAAACGGG
rnacentral:rRNA from 1 species